CAGCCGCCGCGGUAAUACCGGCGGCCCGAGUGGCGGUCACUAUUAUUGGGCUUAAAGCGUCCGUAGCCGGGUUGGGAAGUCCUCCGGGAAAUCUGGCCGCUUAACGGUCAGAAUGCCGGAGGAUACUCCCAGCCUAGGGGGCGGGAGAGGCCGAGGGGAUUCCCGGAGUAGGGGGGAAAUCCUAUAAUCCCGGGAGGACCACCUGUGGCGAAGGCGCUCGGCUGGAACGCGUCCGACGGUGAGGGACGAAGGCCAGGGGAGCAAACCGGAUUAGAUACCCGGGUAGUCCUGGCGGUAAACGAUGCGGACUUUGUGUCGGACAAGCUAUGAGCUUGUCCGGUGCCGGAGGGAAACCGUUAAGUCCGCCGCCUGGGGAGUACGGCCGCAAGGCUGAAACUUAAAGGAAUUGGCGGG
rnacentral:rRNA from 1 species